CACGUAGGGGGCAAGCGUUGUCCGGAUUUAUUGGGCGUAAAGAGCUCGUAGGCGGCUCAGUAAGUCGGGUGUGAAACCUCCAGGCUCAACCUGGAGACGCCACCUGAUACUGCUGUGGCUAGAGUCCGGUAGGGGAGCGUGGAAUUCCUGGUGUAGCGGUGAAAUGCGCAGAUAUCAGGAGGAACACCAGCGGCGAAAGCGACUCACUGGACCGACACUGACGCUGAGGUGCGAAAGCUAGGGUAGCAAACGGG
rnacentral:rRNA from 1 species